rnacentral:lncRNA from 10 species
AUUAGAUGAUCUUGAGUCCCAUCCAGCUCUGAAAGUGUAUUUCCAACAUUUGCCUGUUGGAGGCAGUGUUGAGCAUAUUAGUGCUCCAUGUCAGAAUAUUAAAGAGCAACACAGGGUCUCCCUAGGGGCUGCUAAACCAGUGAUGGGAAGAAAAUAACAGUUCAUGCAUUCUUGUCCUUGUGUUCACUUACUGACAGUGCAUCUGGACUGAAACCCUUUCUUGUGACCUAGGUGUUCUAGACCUGUUGGGUGUAUGGCUUGCUUCUCAGGGAAGAUGUUUGCACCACCUGACCUGAAUCCAUGGUGCCAGUGAGUGAGUGCCAGUACCCAGGAGAGCUGGCCUCAUAAGGAUAAUAGAGUUAAAUGUUUUUGAACUGGAACUUUAGCAUUAGCCUGGCUUCAUGGCCCAGACAAUAAGGAGCUGUUUUAUGAAGUUAUCAGAGGGGGCUGAGUGUGUCUGAGGAACAAGAGCUGUGUUAUUUGGAUGCACUGCAAGAGCCUUAUUAAGCUUGAGGAAGGAGAGAGGAUUUCCCCUUUGGAGAAAAUGCAACACUGUCCAAAGACUGUGAGGUUUGCCAAGGACAUUUGGACAAUGAAGUGCUGCAGGUGCAAUGAAGUCAUGUUUCAGGCAAAGAUUGACCUUAAAAAAAUAAACAGAAUGCUGGAGAUGACAAAUCAGGCUUGUGACUACUGGUGACGCAAAAGUCAGAUCCAGGCAGAACUGGUUGAGCAAAGAAAGAAAGUCCUUCUGCUUCUGGUUUUCGGUGCAGUGACAGGCCUUGGUGCCUUAGUUUCUCCUCAAGUUAAGUGGGUGAAUGGCAGAAGCUCUGGUGGGAGGCUGGAGGCCAGAACGUGAGAAGCCAAUGCUGCUUCCUCUCCCAUGGCCGCUCCUGCCUUGUCUCUGCCUUUCAGUGUGGUGCCACCGGUAGAAGGCUUGUUUUGAAUCUCCAAUGAUCCAUCAGCUUCUUCUUAAUUUUAUAUUUUUCUUCUUUCCACCUGUUUCUCAAGGCUUGAUGAAUGUAGAACUGGCAUAAACAAAUCCAGAGUGGAUACAAUUAGAAAGAACCAGAGACAUUUUUUCAAAUUGGACCUGAAUCUACACCAAUACAUCAUCUUAAAGCAUAUAGGAGUUACUUUCCCUGCUUGCUUUUGAAAGUUUUCAUUUGGUCUGUGAGUUCUCAUCUGGACUGGUAGUGUCCAAAUGACCCAGUAUUGUUGAAGAAAGCUUUAUCACAUAUGUGUAGGAUUGGGUUAUGGAAGAAGCAAAGGUUUGAGGAGGCAUUCAGCUAAACAUCUUCAGGAAUGUGGUCAAAGAGAGGCUACAGGAACAACCCCAGGGGCCAGCCUGUAACUCAGCUUUCUUUAGAGGAUAGACCCUCUCUGUCAUGGUAACCUGGAUGAAAGCAGACCAUCAGGGAAGUGAGGCAGAGCUGAGUAUGCAGCUCCUGGCAUCUGGGUGGGAGGCAGACUCCCAGACUUCACACAUCUGCCCCAUUCCUCUGAGGUCCUGAGACUCCUCCUGCAGCCGUGGCAAGUUUGAAGCAAGUGAAAACAAAUUAUCCCAACUUCUUUGGGAUUAUUGAAACUGAACUGAAUUUUGAAUCUUUCAGAGGUUUCUUAAUAAAAAUUUAAGAGUGGACAGUGAGAUGCAAGGAAGGCGGAAAGUGUCCCCCAACCCCAUGCCCUACCUCCUUGGAAGAAAAGACAUGGAACUAAGAAAUCAGAUUGACUAGUAUUCUGGUGAUAAGAAAGCAAGCAGUAGAAUACCAUAUAUCCUGGGCAUGUGGCCCCACCUUUCCUGAAAUUCUGGGUGGAGGUUACAAAAAAGAAAAAGAAAAAGAAAAAAUGUUUUCAUGUCCCUAGGGUAUUUGCAAAUCCAGGUCACCAGCUAGUCUAUUUCAACACCCAUAGCUUGGUGUAUCUAGUGUUCUUGCAUGUUCUGUCUUUUCUCCAGAGGAGAGGACAAAGAGGAACUCAUAAACUCUUUCCCAACUGAUGCUUUUACAAGAGCUAUUUGAAAAGAUUCCACAAUGACUUUUUGUCCCUUAAUCUACAGCUCUGCUCUGAGACUGGAUUUGAAAAGUAAAAAUGUGAUUAGGAUUGUUUGGUUUGGCAUUGAGGUUAUUGGCAACCAUGGUUCUUUAGGUCUGGCUUUGAAAUAUCAGGGUGCUGGUUGGUUCUCAGGUGGAAGGAAGCGGGGCAUUAGGAGUCCUACCACUUUAUGAGUAGUAGAGGGGGAAGUUGGUAGGUGAGGGACAGGUGGAUUCAAAUAUUUGUAGAUGUUUGCUUUGCAUUUCCUUGCUGCCAUAUGUUGUUGUUGUUCUUUUACAAAUCAAUCUCCCAUACAAAUCAGCUGGCCGGUUUUCCUGAGUCCUGGUUUGGCUCUCCUGGAAACUUGGAGACGUGGCCUUUCUCAACCCCGCUGACGUUUCACACGGGGUUUCAGGAGGUGACUGCCACCUUGUGGCCACACUUAGCAAGUCCCCUUCCACCAGUUCACUGUGGUCUCAAGGCCAACAGUUUUCCACAGACUUGUCAUUCUUGCCACCUCUUCUACACCUGACCCCUUCACCUUCCAGAAAUAACCCUGGUGAAUGUGCAUCUGAUAUGUUGGAAAUUAUCUUUAUAUGUUGGGGAAAUGCAAAAAAGGGAAACUGCCUGGACCUUGGGUCUAGACAGUGAAUCUAUUGCAGUCAUUGGUGGUGGUUUUGGUUUUGGGUAUUAGUACAUAUCCUGAUGUGUCUGUAGUUAAACAGCCUCUGAGAAGGGUCUACCUCGAUUCCUUUUGAGUCCCUUGAGGGAAACUGGUGUGCAUAGGGUGGGUGCUUUGAGAGUAUUGCUUACUGGAUCUACCUUUGGGAAAUGCAGUUGUGCUUGGAGGAGCAGGAUAAGCAGGAAUCAGCGAGGAAAGUUAUGAGCAUUGAGUCAAGUUGACCAUAGACCUUGGGAUGAGAGUGGGGCACAGUGUCUUUUAAACAUGGUGAAAACUCAUGAGAAAAUCACCCUAUUAAAUAAAAGGAAUCUAUAAAUCCUUUUAUAGAGGGUUGAAUAAGCUGAUCUUUGAAGUCUCUUUCUUGCUUCAAAAUAAAGCUAUGCAAUGCCGCUGGUACUAUUUAUAAAAAUGUUCCAUAGUGUAGAAUGGUUUCAAUAAAAGGAAGAUUUUUGUUUCCACUGAUGUUUCUUGACUUUCACCUGAAUUGACAACACAUAAUCUUUUUCCAUUUCAACUUCCUUGAUGAAGUGGGCGUGCUGGCACCACCCAGAUGAAGAAACUGGCCCAGAGAGGUGAAACAACCCAGCCGAUGUCAUGUCGUAGCUAAGAUGACAGCUGUUGGCCUGUACCUCGGCCCUCAAGUUUCCCAUGCAAUGUGCUUCCUACUAUUCAUUGUUGCCCCGUCUCUAGAAAUGCUGUAAAAAUCUACACAGAAAACCUGACCGUCUAUGUGGUUCUUGCGGAGGAAUGAAAAGAAACAUGGCAAAUGAGGAACAGGUUGUUAUCAAAUGGACCCUGCCAGACUGAAUUUCUUCCUGCAAAGAGGACAGUCCAGGUCUGCUGAUGGGUUUCCAACACAGGAAACUCAGGGGUUCUAAUACCUCCUCUUGACCCAGUAACUGACAAGCCCUGAGCCUCAGGAUUCCUGGCCCUGUCCCCUCUCACCUCCUCUGCCAAACCAUGGUACUAGAAGAAAAUUACAAGAGUUUAUGUAUUUCAGAAAAUAUGACACAAAUUGUGAAAAUGGUAUACAGCAGCUCAGCUUUGGGAAACGUGAGUCCUGUCUGCUUAUGGAUGUAUCGAUUCAUGGGUAUUACACUUGUCUCCCAAGUUGCUUGCUGAUGCUUUCAAGGUCAGGUAAUAACAUUCUCCAAGGAACUAAGCGGAGUGGCUGUCCUCAUUUCUCCCCUGACCUGCAGGCUGGCUGGCUGGUUGCCUUGCUUCUGGGAGAUGGCCAGGCAGCCUGUUGCUCCCUGUGCCCCUCACCGACCAGGCAGCUCACUCCCUUUGUGGCAGCCUCAUGUCAAAACCCAUCAGAAUAAGAGACUAUUAAUGAGGAUGGGAAGAGACAGAGAAAAGAGGGAAACACCACAGUAAGAUAAAAACAGAUCAAUAGUGAAGCUAAACAGAGCAAGAGGUUCUGAAAGCAAUUCAGGAGCUGUUAGCUUCUCAACAAACACAGGGUUUCUGAUAAUCUCAGAUGGACACAAAAAGGAGAGAGAUGGACAAAAAGCCAGAGAAGCACAUCAAUGGAAAGCAAUAAGGAGGCUUUACCCAGCCAGAACUCAUCCUCCACGUUCCCGAAGCCAACACGGUAAUCAGCCCAUUUCCGGAAAAAAUCAGUUUGGCCAUUCUGCCGCCUCUGGAAUACCUAUGAAGGAAAUAAAAAAACAAAAAACAAACAAACAAAAAAACAAAACCCAAAGAGAUGCUAAGGAAAAUAAACUGUGAUAAGUAAAAUUGAUAUAACUGGGUUUUAUAUCUGCAAUGACAAAGAUGUCCAAAGAAGGAACAUUUCAGAGCAGAGCUCAGUAUUUACACAGCAGUUUUUGUAGGAGACACUCAGAGCAUUUCUCUUGAAGUGUAGAGGCCCCUGAUGAAUAGGCUCCAGUGUGAUGUUGACACUAAUUUGCACCCCUGCAAUGUAGAAAGGACUCAGGAUACAUAUCAAGCCCUAAAUAUCAGGGGAAAUAGGCUUGGCUCUCAAACGAAUCUUUUGCACUACAGAGUGCAGUAGAAAGCAUUUCUCACCAAAAGAACAGGA